rnacentral:lncRNA from 1 species
UUCUCAGGGAGACAGGCAAAGAUGUAAAUAACUCCUAAGCUCGCAUGCUAGGUGCUAUAGAACGUCCAAGAAGAAUACAAGUGUGAUCCUGACUGAGCUAUCAUGUCUUCGCCCAGAGGACUAACUUGGCCCUAUGACGAGCUCCAUUUGGCGAGCAAGGGAAUGAAGUCUGGAAAAAUUAGGUCAAAUCCUCAAGAUCCCAUAGCCUGACCAUGAACUCAGGUGCUCUGAUUCCAAGCACACGGCUAUUUCCAUUACUUUCAUAUGCCAUAUGCCAAGCUCUUUUCCUCACUGACCUGAAGACAUUUGAGGGUCCAGACUGUGUUUUAUGCAGCUCCUGUUUUCCCCAUGGAUCCCAGAUAUGCAGCCUGUUGCUUUAUUAAUUGAUUUGCCAAGAAGUAGCAAGAAUGUCCUCAUGAGGCAUCCUGUCCCUAAGGACCUGAAGAAAAAAACCCUAGCAAUUCUUUUGGGGCUGGAAAGAACUGCUGAGAAGUCAUGACUGUGGUUGUUUUCAGUGCCAUGACUGAGUCAUGUUCUAAAAAAAAAAGGCUUCCAGUCACUAUUUUUGAAGGUAUGAUUCCCAACUAUCUAUAUCAACUAACAGAAGCAAACAGCAAUGUGGAUUAAGUGACCUGGUCAUGGGAUCAGGGAAUGGACCAGUGGAAGAUAGAGAGACAACUUCCAUCCACCUGCCCCAAAAGUCUCUGCGUGAGUCCUAGUCACCUACCUAUGACAUAAGUGUCUUUUUAUUUAUUUAGUCAUAUCCUACCUCAUUUCCCAAAGACUCAAAGUGGUUUCCCAUAUG